UAGCGGCGAACGGGUGAGUAAUACAGGGGUAACCACCCCCAAGGAGGAGAAUAACCCACCGAAAGGUGGGCUAAUACUCCAUGUGCUGACCGGGAGGCAUCUUCCGGUCAGGAAAGGUGCCGCAAGGUGCCGCCUUGGGACGGGCUCCUGGCCUAUCAGCUUGAUGGCGGGGUAAAAGCCCACCAUGGCUGAGACGGGUAGCUGGCGUGAGAGCGUGACCAGCCACAGGGGAACUGAGACACGGUCCCCACUCCUACGGGAGGCAGCAGUCUAGAAAUUGGGCAAUGGGCGAAAGCCUGACCCAGCGACACCGCGUGGAGGAUGAAGUCCUUCGGGAUGUAAACUCCUGUCAGGGGAACGAAGCCCGUCUUGGGCGGGUGACGGUACUCCCAGAGGAAGCCCCGGCUAACUACGUGCCAGCAGCCGCGGUAAUACGUAGGGGGCGAGCGCUGUCCGGAUUCACUGGGCGUAAAGAGCGUGUAGGCGGCUGAGCAAGUCAGAUGUGAAAUCCCUGGGCUUAACCCAGGAAGUGCAUUUGAAACUGCUUAGCUUGAGUAAGGAAGAGGGAAGUGGGAUUCCUGGUGUAGAGGUGAAAUUCGUAGAUAUCGGGAGGAACACCAAUAGCGAAGGCAGCUUCCUGGUUCGUUCCUGACGCUCAUACACGAAAGCCAGGGGAGCAAACCGGAUUAGAUACCCGGGUAGUCCUGGCCCUAAACGAUGGGUGCUUGGUGUUGGGAGGGUAAUUCCUUUCAGUGCCGUAGUUAACACGUUAAGCACCCCACCUGGGUAGUACGGUCGCAAGGCUGAAACUCAAAGGAAUUGACGGGACCCCGCACAAGCAGCGGCGCAUGUGGUUUAAUUCGAUGCUACACGAAGAACCUUACCUGGGCUUGACAUGUAUGUGAAAAAAGAUAGAAAUAUCUUUCCUCUAAGGUUUAUACCUUAGACACAUACACAGGUGCUGCAUGGUUGUCGUCAGCUCGUGUCGUGAGAUGUAAGGUUAAGUCCUUGAACGAGCGCAACCCCUGCCCUUAGUUGCUAACAGGUUACUGCUGAGGACACUAAGGGGACUGCCGUCGACAAGACGGAGGAAGGUGGGGAUGACGUCAAAUCCUCAUGGCCUUUACUGUCCAGGGCCACACACACUGCGACAAUGGUGAGGACAAUAGGAAGCAAGAGGGUAACCUUGAGCAAAUCCUCAAAACCUCAUCCCAGUACCGAUUGAGGACUGCAACCUCGUCCUCAUGAAGCUGGAGUUGCUAGUAACUGUGAGUCAGCUCAUAUCACAGUGACAUCACGUUCCCGGGGUUUGUCACACACCGCCCGUCAACACCACCCGAGUUGGUUGCACUCGAAGUCG
rnacentral:rRNA from 1 species